AAGCGGCAACAGCUCAAAUUUGAAAUCUGGCUUCGGCCCGAGUUGUAAUUUGCAGAGGAUGUUUAUGGUGCGGUACUUUCCGAGUUCCCUGGAACGGGACGCCACAGAGGGUGAGAGCCCCGUCUGGAUGGAUACCAAACCUGUGUUAAACUCCUUCAACGAGUCGAGUAGUUUGGGAAUGCUGCUCUAAAUGGGAGGUAAAUCUCUUCUAAAGCUAAAUAUAGGCCAGAGACCGAUAGCGCACAAGUAGAGUGAUCGAAAGAUGAAAAGCACCUUGAAAAGGGGGUUAAACAGUACGUGAAAUUGUUGAAAGGGAAGCGUUUAUGACCAGACUUGUGUCGUGUGGCUCAUCCGAGGUUCUCCCCGGUGCACUCCACGCGGCUCAGGCCAACAUCGGUUUCUGUCGGGGGAUAAGAACAGUAGGAACGUAGCUCUCCCUCGGGAGAGUGUUAUAGCCUAUUGUACGAUACUCUGACUGGGACCGAGGACCG
rnacentral:rRNA from 1 species